UUGUACGAAUAUAGAGCAGACAACUGGUAGAGUUCAUGAGUCUAGUACUCGGGUACGCCGUAUUAACUUGGGGGCAUGUGCACACCUUUCUCUUUCCUCUUCCAUACACACCUGUGCACCUGUGAGACAGAUGUUUUCUAGAGGGGAAGGAACUUUAUUGGACCUACUCUUCUUGGACUCUGUCUACUUAAUCUAUAUAAACUCAAUUUAUUUUAAAAUGAAUGUAAUGGAUGUAACACAUCUAAUACUAAGUUUCAACAACGGAUCUCUUGGCUCUCGCAUCGAUGAAGAACGCAGCGAAAUGCGAUAAGUAAUGUGAAUUGCAGAAUUCAGGAAUCAUCGAAUCUUUGAACGCACCUUGCGCUCCUUGGUAUUCCUUGGAGCAUGCCUGUUUGAGUAUCAUGAAAUCUUCAAAGUCAAACCUUUUGUUAACUCAAUUGGUUCUGCUUUGGUAUUGGAGGUCUAUUGCAGCUUCACACCUGCUCCUCUUUGUGCAUUAGCUGGAUCUCAGUGUUAUGCUUGGUUCCACUCAGCGUGAUAAGUUAUCUAUCGCUGAGGACACCCUGUUAAAAAGGGGUGGCCAAGGUAAAUGCGGAUGAACUGCUUCUAACAGUCCAUGGACUUGGACAAAUAUUAAUUUUAUGAUCUGAGCUCAAAUCAGGUAGGACUACCCGCGAACUAGAAAAUAUGAUUACCACAGGAAAGGAAACAUUAU
rnacentral:rRNA from 1 species